rnacentral:rRNA from 1 species
UACGGAGGGUGCGAGCGUUGUCCGGAAUCACUGGGCGUAAAGGGCGCGUAGGCGGCCUGGUAAGUAGGGGGUGAAAUCCUGCGGCUUAACCGCAGGGCUGCCUUCUAAACUGUCAGGCUCGAGCACGGUAGAGGCAGAUGGAAUUCCCCGGUGUAGCGGUGGAAUGCGUAGAGAUCGGGAAGAACAUCAGUGGCGAAGGCGGUCUGCUGGGCCGUUGCUGACGCUGAGGCGCGACAGCGUGGGGGAGCAAACAGG